UUUGAGUCUUCAAUGGAUUUGGAAAAACCAACGAAGUGGCGUUUCGUCAUCCUUGUAUGUGUGAAAAUAUUAUGGGUGAAAGACAGAAUAUAUGUGAUACGGGUAUCUUCCCGUUUAAAGCUCAAGAACACGCCAUAGUAACAACUUCCCUUGAAAUGACGCUGGAUUAGACGCCAUUCAAGGUUUGCUCGACAGAUCCUAGUAAACCUCAUCUUUGUACCUAUGUAACACAAUCAAUAACAAAAUCUGAUUCAUAAACCUCAAACGCUACUAAUAAUAUUAAUUGCAAAAUCAAAGUAAAAGCAUAGUAAUACCAAUUAGUUGAUGACGGCGGAAUUUAGAUCUAGUGUGGAUAGAGUUAGGGUUAUGAAGAAAGCAAGUACAGGAGAUGGAGUUUAAAUAACCAAAGGGUUGGCUAAAACAUGUGGUAUUUAAAAGUGUAG
rnacentral:lncRNA from 1 species